rnacentral:rRNA from 1 species
AUUGAACGCUGGCGGCAGGCUUAACACAUGCAAGUCGAGCGGAGUGAUGGUGCUUGCACUAUCACUUAGCGGCGGACGGGUGAGUAAUGCUUAGGAAUCUGCCUAUUAGUGGGGGACAACAUCUCGAAAGGGAUGCUAAUACCGCAUACGUCCUACGGGAGAAAGCAGGGGAUCGCUUGUGACCUUGCGCUAUAGAUGAGCCUAAGUCGGAUUAGCUAGUUGGUGGGGUAAAGGCCUACCAAGGCGACGAUCCGUAGCGGGUCUGAGAGGAUGAUCCGCCACACUGGGACUGAGACACGGCCCAGACUCCUACGGGAGGCAGCAGUGGGGAAUAUUGGACAAUGGGGGGAACCCUGAUCCAGCCAUGCCGCGUGUGUGAAGAAGGCCUUAUGGUUGUAAAGCACUUUAAGCGAGGAGGAGGCUCUUUUGGUUAAUACCCAAGAUGAGUGGACGUUACUCGCAGAAUAAGCACCGGCUAACUCUGUGCCAGCAGCCGCCGUAA